rnacentral:rRNA from 1 species
UAGAGCGGGUGAAAGCGUUGUUCGGAAUCAUUGGGCGUAAAGCGCGAGUAGGCGGCCUUAUAAGUCUGGUGUGAAAUCCUGGGGCUUAACCCCAGAAGUGCACUGGAUACUGCAAGGCUAGAGGGUGAGAGAGGAGAGUGGAAUUCCUGGUGUAGGGGUGAAAUCCGUAGAUAUCAGGAGGAACAUCUGUGGCGAAGGCGGCUCUCUGGCUCACCUCUGACGCUGAUCCGCGAAAGCGUGGGGAGCAAACAGG